rnacentral:rRNA from 1 species
AGUGAACGCUGGCGGCAGGCCUAAUACAUGCAAGUCGAACGGCAGCACAGCAGAGCUUGCUCUGUGGGUGGCGAGUGGCGGACGGGUGAGGAAUACAUGGGAAUCUGCCCAGUCGUGGGGGAUAACGUAUGGAAACGUACGCUAAUACCGCAUGCGCCCUACGGGGGAAAGUCGGGGACCGCAAGGCCUGACGCGAUUGGAUGAGCCCAUGUUCGAUUAGCUAGUUGGCGGGGUAAAGGCCCACCAAGGCGACGAUCGAUAGCUGGUCUGAGAGGAUGAUCAGCCACACUGGAACUGAGACACGGUCCAGACUCCUACGGGAGGCAGCAGUAGGGAAUAUUGGACAAUGGGGGCAACCCUGAUCCAGCCAUGCCGCGUGAGUGAAGAAGGCCCUCGGGUUGUAAAGCUCUUUUGUCCGGAAAGAAAGCAUCUGGUUAAUACCCGGGUGUUCUGACGGUACCGGAAGAAUAAGCA